CCCAGGGAGGGCCCCGGCUCUCCAUGAAUUGGAACACAGCACUUCUUUGAUAGGAGCCCAAACGCCCAUCGGAGGACCACCUGCUUCGGCUGCAGGGGCGUGGGAACCACUGAACCAGAAUGUGAGAGCAAGGCUCAUUCGUUAGGAUCCCGGAACGAGGCAGGACCUCAGGUGUGUGACUGUGGUGUUGGGUGCUCAGAAGUGGCGCUGCAGCCCUGUUUAUUUCGUGGAGCGCGACAAAGGGACUGGACUUCUGCUCUCCCAAUUUCCCCGUCUCUCCCUAAAAAAUUCACAAUAGUCCUCAAUGGUUUAUUAAACGCCCCCAGUGGCUCCAGUCUGCUUUCCCCAUAGCAGCCAACGUUAACCUUCCUUUUCGGGCCGCGCGAGAACUUGUCUUUGGCGGUAGAAUGAGCCGAGUGUUUCGGGGGUCAGUGCAGGCUCUCACAUCAGCCCGACCACCGCCAGUUUAAGUCCGGCGACCGGGCCGCACCGGACUACAUUUCCCAGGAGGCUCUGCACGUACUUCCAAUUCCGGCGCCUUCUGUGUACGGGCUCUGAGCGUGGCCCGUCUGUGUCCUCCCUGUCCUUCCCUGCAGAGACCCCCCCCCCCCAUGUCUGGACCGGGAAGGAGCAGACACUGGACAGGGUGUGUGUUUCCAGCAGUGAAUUGUCAGACUUGGUGUCCCGGCUGCUCCCCAUUGGUCCUUUCCCCGGGCCCGCAGAUCUAAUUUCUUCUACUGGAGCCGGGACUCGGGCAUCUUGACGCGCCCUCUCUGCCCCUGGAGCGUGUCUUUGGGCUUUGUGUGUGUGGCAGUGGGGUGUAUGUGUGUUUCCUAUCCGAGACACCUCCGGGUCGUUUGCUCAGAAACAGGCUGAGGGCCCACGUAGCCUGGAGGACUUGACUGGAAGGUGAGGCAGGUAGCGCCCAAGGCUCCCAUGCCCGGGCCAGGUCAGGCACCAACGAGUCCCUUAGGUCUGCAGUAUGGUGGAACCAUUUUAUAGACUGACAGUGUGAAUGUGGGAGGGGAUGGAUAUCAGAAAUCUGUUUAUCUACAUUUUCAGAGAGUGGUAUUGCUCUUUGAUAUGAGUGUAGGCAGGUUACUCUCUGGGGUUCAUUUCUUUACUUAUAAUUUGAGGUUUGUUGUAUCGUACUUACUUGUAAGUGGUGGUCAUGAGGAUUAAAUGGAAUUUUGACAUGCAACAGUUGACACAGGGCCAAACACCAAGUCAGUCAUCAAUGUGUCGUCGAUUUUAUUAAUAGUAGACAUCCAUCUCCCCAUUUGUACAUAAGAAGGAAACACCCAGGAAGGAAAAGUAACAUGUCCUGGGUCACCCAGCCAGCUAGCACAUUGUGGAAAUUAGAAUCCAGGCACUCCCAGCAGUGGCCUUUCCACCACCCAGCACUUGUGUAUGCAUCAGGAACCUUAUCUUUACUGCUGUCUGUAACUGUCUGUGUUCCCAGUAUCUGACUCUUCAGGGCCCUGGGCACUCAGACUUGCUUGUGUUUAGGGUUUCCUGAAGAUUAAAUGGCUGCUGAAGUUCUUCAGUUUAGCUUUCAGCUCAAAAGAUACUGCUUCAAACUCUACAUUCUGAGUAGUCUCAGAGAAUGGAAAAAGAAAUACAAUGAAAAAGGAGAAAACUUCAAUCCAGAAUUUCUUGCCAGAGUUUCUGGGAGAACGCUGGCAAUUCCCAGGAAGAUAUGUGGAGAAUGGAAAGGUUGCUACACCCAAAUAGUGGUGCAAAGGCUGUGAUUAUGGAGGAUUGGACCUGCAAUCUCCAAAACAGAGCAACCUUGUAAAAUGUGUGUGGGCAGCACAGAGACCUUGGAGACCUUGGGCAAGUUAACAGUUUCCUCAUCUGUAAAUAGUGAUUUAUGGAAAGUGCUUGGUACCUGCUGCCUCUCUGAAGGAUGAGUGUGGGAUAAGUCAGACUCCUUGGAAGAGGAGAAAUAAAUAGGUAUGGAGAAGCUGAUGAUUUGAUUUAGCAUUAUAGCACAUGGGCAAGCCCUAGUCCCUUGAACCUUCUGUGAGCUCAGGCCUUCGCCCCCAGGAUCCAUGGCCCUGCUGCUCAGUUCUGGCAGAAUUAGGGGACUGCUCCUCGGCUCCUUUUCAGUUUUCUCUUAAAAAGUAUUUUCUCUUAAGGAGCUACAAAGGGAUGCCCCAGAUUAGAAGGGACUUCCAUAGUCUAUCUUUAGCCUGUUUGGCUUUCCUCUAAUAUCCUGACCUCAGCCCCUCUGAUUUCUGGAAGACCUGGAGCUUAUGACUUCCUAACUCUGUCUUAGCCCCCUCUGAUUGUCAGUGUCUAGUACAGGGAGGGGCAGGCAUCUUUCGGGGAAGUUGGGGUUUGGGAGUAUGACGAAACGUAUUGUUCGUACCUUUUUUUCCUCGUAAGACAAUGUAUAGAAAGUGCCAUAAAGUCUUGGUUAAUGUUGAUAUACAGAAAAUAUUAACAAUUAACUGAUAAUUAAAUGACCUUUCCUGAGUGCUUAUUCUG